CAGUGGGUCACCCCCAGAGACCACUGAGUACGUGUGGUGGGGAAGAAAUCUGUUUUGAAGGUGCUGGGAGAAUAUCCUCUCAUUGUCUGUCUUGAAAUGUGAAGUAAAUAAAUAAGAAUAUGUACAUAUAAACUAAUACACACACACUACAUUACUUACAAUAUAGCCAAUCGAUCACAUUCUGGUGCAUAUGCCUGUAAUACUCUGCAAAUAAAACUGUUCUAAUGGAAAAAAAAAAAAAAACAAAAAAAAACCACCCCUGCAGGCAUUGUUUAACACUGUAUUCAAUCACUCAUCACCCAUGCACAGGAUCCAAGGAUUGAGAACAAUGGACUUUUUGAUGUGUGUUGCAACAAACUCAUAGCGGAUGGCUGUAAAUCGGAGGGAUCACCAGGUCUGCCUACCAGCCACCAGGCAAGUGGGGAGAAGCUGUCACCCCAACUUGAGUUUCAAGAAGACUCCUUGGAAGAAAAGACCACCAAAUUGAGAAUGAAAAGAUCAUACGCGGGGGUCGUCAGACAUGGUCUGAGACUCUGGGAAGAACAGCAGCCUGGCCCUGCUACCCCCAGGCUUCUGCUCACAGCACUGACCCCAGCUAAUCCAAGAACAUGUCACCUAUAAUGAGAAUAUUGAAGAAAAAUCAACCAUCUUUCAGAUGUGUCUGUAUCAUGGUACGGUACAUGGGUAAGGUAAGCUGAACACAACAUAAAAAAGAAAACUUACAAACCCUCCCUUCAUCUAAGAUGACUCCUUUAAAGACCAAGGGCAUCUGGGGGUCACUGGAGUUCUCAUGUUCCAGCCGCCAUCCUUCCUGCCUGAGGACAAAUAAUUAUAAGCUGACAGUGACUCAAAUACUAAAGUCUGUAUCAACUAGUUAAUCACUCAUGACAUCCCAGAAAUCCAGCUCAUGUAAACCUGGGGAAAAGGUGGCAUCCAAAUACACUGAGAGGAGAUUCUGAUAGUCCUUGGGAUUUUGUGUGGAAAAUGGAUCCAGAGUAUAAUCACUAGCUGGGUACAAAGGAAAAGUGAAAUUGUAAAAUUUAACAGAUUUCUACUAAAAUUAUUGAAUCUCAAGCCUCAUUUCCCCUUUGUCCUAGGACAGUAAGUUGUAGCUAUUCUUGAGAUGGGGCAGUGGCUCCAUGCUCUGGCCCCCAACCUCAGCAGCUGUCCCAGCUCAUCACCUUGAGUGCUGGCUUUCCCAUCCCGUCUCAGGAUCUGCACUGGACGGGCACCAGGUCUUUCUUCAGCGAACAUCUAAACUCUCUCAAGUGUCUCCAGAGACUUUCACACGUCUACAAAGAUGACCUCAUUCUGUAAGAGCAUGGAUUUAACUUGCUCUUCGAUGUCACUCCUUCACAGAGUGCACUGUUCAUCGUCACCCUAUCCACUAGCGUCAGUCUUAAUAAAAGUCAAACAUCAAUGUUAGUGGUAACUCUGGAGGCUUGGCAUUGUAGUGAUAUCCCCAAGAGAAAAUUGUUCUGAACCUUUCUGGGAAAAUUCACGUACGUUUUUUUCAAAUGCUAGUUUUUAUAAUCUCGCUACCAUGUGGCUUUCCUGAAGAAUGAAAUUUCUGACGUCCUUCAAGUAGAGAGAGGUAAAACUUUUUCUAGAACAUGAAUUGCCCACUCCUGUCAUCCCUUCUCAGAAACUAACUGAAUUCCAGUGGGUGCGCCUGGCAAACGCAAACACGGUUUCCGUUCAGGAUGCUGGUCUUACCUGUGAAGGCAAACGCGGUUUCCGUUCAGGAUGCUGGUCUUACCUGUGAAGGCGUUCAUGAACGUGGAGAGGGGCCGGCUCAACAUUUUGAAGAAAGGGUCUCUGCACGGAUAUUUCCGAGACCCACAAAGGACGGUGUGCUCAAGAAUGUGAGGAACACCGGUGCUGUCCAUGGGAGUGGUGCCGAACUGCACGCUAGGGAAGAAGGAACGGCACGCCAGGGAAGGGGGAGGAAUAAGGAACAGAAGGCCAGGGACGGGGAGGAACAGAACGCUAGGGAAGGAGAAUGACUAGAAUACAAAACGUUCAUCUUAGUGCUGCGGACACAGUUCCCAGAUGCAUCAUCACCUCAGGCUACUAGAAAUUAUCAUUCUGACACCACAAUCCUCCAACACAGGGUCUCCCAACUCUAAUGUAAAUCAUUGAUUCAGACUAUAACAUUGUAUUUUGAUGAGAUUGUAAGUCCCUGUAAGCUUUUCCUUAUUUUUCAAGAUGCUCUGUCAAUAAAAAUACUAGUGAGAUGAUAUUUAAACCACGUAACAUACAGUCAGUGCUUUAAACCAAGCUUUUCUAACCCACAGCCUGCAGUCCGCAUGCUCAGGAUGGCUUGGAAUGCAUCCCAACACAAUCCCUACACUUUCUUAAAACAUUGAGGUCCUCUAUUUUUUUUUUUUUUUUUUUUUAGCUCAUCAACUGUCCUUAGUGUUAGUGUAUUUAGUGUGUGGCCUAAGACAGUUGUGGCACAGGGAAGCCAAAAGAUUGGACAUCCUUGAUUUAAAGAAAACAUUCAAGACCAUGUUCUUACAAUGCACGACGUACCUGAACAGAUUAUUCCUGUCUUCUCUAGCCAGGUGUAAAUACCUGGCUCUUGUGUCAUUGUGGCUGAGCUUCAUGGCCGUCAGGAACAGCUCGGGAAGAGAUGUCACCUGAGUUAACCAGAAAAACACGAGCAGUUAAACGUAGACAAAAUAGCCUGUGAAAUGGUGAUCUUCGACACACUGAGAAAACUGGCUUUUCUGCCUGAAAUUAGAUGAUGCCGGGAAGCCAGUAUUUCAGAGCUGGAGAGAACAGAACCAUCCUGUCCAAGUCCCUUAUCCUACAAACAAGGAAAGGAAGACCUAAAGAAGGCCGAUGAGAAUGUGUGUGUGUAUAUGUAUAUUUUUGAGUGCUUAUUAUUGGCUAGGUAUUUUCCAUUUUUUUAUUUUUUAAAUUUUUUAUUCUUUUUUGGCUAGGCAUUUUCUAAUCAUGUCACAUAGAAUCCUGUGACGGAGGUAUUCUCAUCCUCAUUUACAGAUGAAACAACUGAGGCUCAGGGUGAUGAAACAAGCUGCCCGAAUCAGAGCCAGGAUUCGCCCUGGUGUCUGCCCUUCCCACGGUACUGUGCUGCACCUAAGUAACACAGCACCCUUUCCAACACCUGGCUCCUAGGUCACACGUUUCAGUGUCUCAGCGAGUGACUUUCUCUCUGGAAGCCGUAUCAGCCUCUUGUUUGAUGUCAGCCACAGCAGAAAGAAGCACUCCGUAGGCCCCGUGCUCAGCACCUUGGCAUGAGCUCCUGCCAUCUUCUGUUCAUGAUCAUC